GGUCUGGUGGUGUAGUUGGUUAUCACGUCAGUCUAACAGGUCGAGGACAUCCUACGAUAGCUUCGCUGCACACUGAAGGUCUCCGGUUCAAGUCCGGGCUAGAUCA
rfam:Colletotrichum incanum strain MAFF 238704 contig1219, whole genome shotgun sequence.